AAACUAACAGCAUAUGACGAUACUUCAGUUUUAUUUACGGCGUUUAUAUGGGUUACUGUAUGCUAAAAACGCUUGGGCGGUACAACAGUGUUAAAUAUGUCCGGUUUUAUCAAUACCAUAGUACCUCUUUAGUAAAAUAUUCCAUAAAUAUUUACUGUAAAAUACAUAGGAACUCAAAUAUAAUUAAAGGCCAUUUGUGCGGUUGGUAUUUUUUUCUAUUGGACAUUUUUACAUUUUUACCUGCAAUUGUCUAAAAUUGA